CUCAUAUAAUAAUAUAGUAUGUCUUUAUAAAGGUCGAAAGAUGCAUGUGCUUUAGUAAAUCUUACUGGAUAAAAACCUUUCAUAGGGGACCGCCCCGGGACCACUCAUUAAUAAUAAUGGGAGGGGGGGGGGGGGGGGGGCGGUGGUUGAUAGAUACUAAAUAUUGAACAUUUUUUAGAGCCGCCCCAAUCGCAAGACCUUUAUUUUCAAGAUGCCCCCACCUUCAUUUAGAAAUUUAGCCCCCCCCCCAACAUUUAAUUUGUUACUUAGUUGGUGUAAAAUAGGUAAUGGUACAAGUACUGGUGUAAGACAUUGUGUAGCCUAAAUAAUAAGAGGACCAGUAUUCAAAAUGGUUGUUAUUUACUCUGACUCCUAUCAUGAACAGAACUGCAUAUACGUAAUAAACUAUGGAAAUUACAAUUAUAGGAACUAAAAAAGGUGAAAUAUUUUGCAAUAUGAUAAAGGUAAGAG